rnacentral:rRNA from 1 species
UGCGUAGGUGGUUUCUUAAGUCAGAGGUGAAAGGCUACGGCUCAACCGUAGUAAGCCUUUGAAACUGGGAAACUUGAGUGCAAGAGAGGAGAGUGGAAUUCCAGAAGUAGGGGUAAAAUCCGUAGAUCUCUGGAGGAACACCGAACGCGAAGGUAUUCUGCUGGGCACUCACUGACGCUAAGGGACGAAAGCGUGGGUAGCGAACG